AAAAUCGUGUCGGUGGAUCACUCGGUUCAUGGGUCGAUGAAGAGCGCAGCUAGCUGCGAAAAGUGGGGCGAAUUGCUAAGCAGAGCCUUAAAUUCUUGAAUGCAAAUGGCGCUAACAGUUAAUACUGUUGGCAUGUGCAGUUGAGGGUG
rnacentral:rRNA from 1 species